rnacentral:lncRNA from 1 species
AGUCAUAGGAAACAUGCAGCACUGAAAAUUUAAUACAAACACACCUCCCAAAACCCCCACAAAAACCAGCCACAGUUUCCUAUCACAGGGGAUAUGACUCACGUCUCAGCAGGGGUACACAUACCUUAUUAUAGUCGCAAAAGAAAAAAAGAACAUGUCUCAAACAAAUGUCUCCCCCAAUAUCAUCUGCACAGGGCAGCUGUUUGUGAAAAUCUUUUUGAAACUUGCAAAGUAAUUUCUGUCUUUGUGGUUGGUCCAUAGUGCUGUGGCUUGUUUUCACCACAGUGACUCUUAAUUUAAGGAACAAAAUGAUGGCAAUGACUCCUUUAACCAUAAUCAGCUGAAUUCAGACUCAGUUUGGAGAUGAAUGGAAAGAGAAGGCCCUUGGCUGACCUGGCCUCUGGACCUCCCAGAAACUGCUCCCACACUCCAGGGGCUGUCCCAGAAGCCCCACAGGAUCCUAAGCUGGUAUCUUUGUUUCAAGUGGUGCAAAUUUCCCAUUCUCUGCAUGUACCGAGAAGAUUCGUGGAAUAGUCCCUGUGGAUACUUCUAGCUGUGGCUAAGAUUCUUAAUCCAGUGCCUUGGACCACUCUGCCACGCUACUCAGCUACAGCUAAGAUUUUUUACACCACAAAGACAACAAAAAUCAGAGUCAGCAAAUGGAAAUGGUGCUUGGGGCAAAAUCUGCAGGGGAGGAGGCCAAAUUUCCAGGAGUCAUUUCCCAGUGGGGGCCCUCAAGAUGGGCCCAUUUCUCUGGCAAUGAGUGAGGACAGCAGGUAGGAAAGGGGGAAUUAUCAGGGGUACUCCCCCAGAGAUGUUUGCCCAGGGGUUUCACUGUGGGCCUAGGACACAAUAAGAUUCCAGACUUAAGAGCCCUUUCUGUCCUUCUUUGGGUACUAUGAAAGCAGGUGUUCAGUCCGAACCAAUCCUUGUGUCAUUAGACAGACCACAUUGUUUGUCCCACUUUAGAAAUGUGGGGGACACUCCAGUGGCAGAAGCUUCUUUGUGUUAACUUGGAGGGGUGUUGGAAAGAGAUGAACAUUUGAAUCAGUGGGUAUCUGUGGCUAUAAAUAACAUAGAGGAGCCCAUCUAGUGAACAAGAGGCCUGGAAGAAUAAUACCCAGCCUGCCUCCCUGAGCAAGAGUGAAAUCCUGAACAGACGCUUCUGGACUUCAAAUCAGCUCACCGGUGUUUCUUCCCACCAGCCCGUGGACUGGAACUGCACAUCAGCUCUUUUGAGUCUAAAGCCUGCCUAGCUACUCUGCAGAUUUUGGACUCACUAUCAGUGGCUUGUUAGUCAGUUUCGUACAAGACACUUUCUUCUCAUCCUACUGGUUCUGUUUCUCCAGAAACCUUGACCCCUCCCCAAACUAAAUUUUUCCAGAUACCAGCCAAGCCUCAACCUUGCAAGUAGAUUUUGCAAGAAUUGCAGAGCCCUUGAGAGAAGUCUCCCUCCACUGUGCCUUCCUGUUAACUCAUUUCUGCACAUUACUAACUUGCGUGCCAGAAGUCACAUGGAUGUUAAACCAUGGAGCAGUGGAGCUCACAAGCAAUCAUGGAGUUGAAGAAAAAGUACAUGGACAGAAGUUGACUGUUAGUGUAGGAAUGGUUGAGACAGCGGGCACAGAACCCGGAUCAGUGGCUUUCCUGGGGUAGGGGAACAUUCAAUGAGGACUCCAGAGUAAUGAGACUAAUUGUGGAGGACUGAAGAAGGCUAGAAACUCUUUGCCAUUCCUUACACGAAUAAGUAGAGUUGAUUUCCUGUAUUCCUAGAUCUGGAAUGGUAUGUAUUUACUGUCUCUAAUAGAAUGCAGUCAGUGUGGCAUUGUGGGAGUCCUGGAAAGGAGCUUUAAGCAGCCUGGCCCUUUUGUGUUUCUGUUCUUGGGACCCCUGAAUAGACAGGUGAUGAUGCCUGAGUACCUGCUGAAGAAACCAAGAGAAGGGGUGAGGGAGAACAGCCAGACACAAUAGGACCAGCUGUUCCAACUGAGGUGACACCCAGCUAAUUAAUGUCACUGUGCCUUAGCCAAAGUCAGCCUCAGAGGAAGCGUUGGAUAAAGACAGACUGUCAUAGCAUCACCCUGCAGGGUCCCACGGUGACCACGGAAUCAUGAACAAAUAAUACAAUGAGGUGGCUUGAAGCCAGUAACUGUGGGCAUCUGACUUCACAGCAAGAGAUAAGCAUUACAGAGUGGCAGCUGGGACAGUCGGAGCACAGUGGCUUCCUUGUAAUGAUGGAGCCCAGAGCAAAAAGCAGGAGCAAGACAUCUGAGCUGAGGCAGCAGGGCGGCUCGGAUCUUUUCCUGCCAGUUUUCCACUGUUUCACAACACUGACGUGUGUCACUUCACAGCAAAAACAAUCUGUACCCUUCUGAAUGAGGCACUACCCCGGAAUCUCUUCCAGACCUCAUCAGCCCUCAAACCACGGUCUGUGAGCAGCCGAGGGAGAUCCCAUACACAGUGAGUCAUGUUUAUCUUUGGAGUGCUGAACGCCUUGUGUGGAUCUUAGGUCACCGCUGACCCGUAGCCUGCAGCUUGUUUCUUCACCGGGAGCCAAAACACAGUGCAUAACCUCAUCUCCGGCAACAUUCUCAACAGGGCCCGAGUGUCUGUGCACGGGUGCCAAAUGUGCCUACAGUGAGUCCAGAAAUGUAAGAAUUGCCCACAGCCAGUCUGGCCGAUUUUCUGGACAGUACUGUUGAGGGCCUGCAAGAAAUCCUGGAUCACAGGGGUCAGCUCUCAGCUGGGAUUAGUGCUCCAUAAAUGACCCUGAUGGUAUCUGCUAGCCUCUCCAUUAUGAGGACAUAGCUUACAAGCUUCGUAUCAAACAUGACAUCUCUUUGUCCCUCCCUCACUCACCAAGAAGUCUACCACACCUGUGAGUACAUGGGAAGCACACAUUGAACUUGGUGGGCUAUAAGAGGCUGGGAAAAGGCUGGGGUGGAUCUGGAGGAGUUAGGGGAAUAGUGUAAAUGAAAAUGAUCAAAGUGCAUCACAUGUGUGUAUGAAAUUUUCAAAGGAUUAGCCAAAAUGUUAUAUUAAAUAAAAGAGCUCUACCACUAAGCUGUAUUCCACCUACAAACACCGAACAUUCUGAUGUCUUUUUCUGGCACCUCUGAGCCUCCAGAAAAGGGAGGACUAAAUCACUGCUUUUCAUAACUCAACUAAGCUGUGUGUGAGAGAGGGGUACACGUGUGUCAAGCUAUGGUUGUGAAGGGCUACACAGGCCAAGGUAUGGGCAUGGAGGUGUGUGUGGGAGGAGGGCUACACAUGUACCAGGGUAUGGUGAUGGGGGAUGUUCUUCUGUAUGCUGUGAAUAUACAAUAUACGUUUCUCUUAUUGGUUGUUGAAUAAAGCUGUUUUGGCCGAUGUACUGGCGGGAUGUAGUCAGGCAGGAAGAAUAGGCAGGGCUACCAGACUAGAAUUCUGAGAAGAGGAACAGAGUGAGUGAGUUGUGGGAGAGAUGCCAUGUAGCUGCCCAGAAAGAAAGAGGUCUGGACAUCACCAGUAAGCCAAGACCACAUGGAGAUACACAGAUUAAUAGAAAUGGGUUAAAAAUUAAGAGAGAGCUAGCCAAUAAGAAGCCUAAGCUAUAGGCCAAACAGUUUAUAAUUAAUAUAAGCCUCUGUGUAUAUAUUGGAGAUUAAACAGCUGCAGGGCUGGUCUACAUAUGGAUGAGGAGGUAUGGGGAGUACACAUGUACCAGGAGUACGGUUAUGCAGGCAUGGGGGGAGGGGUAACACAUGUGCCAGGGUAUGGAUGUGGAGGUCAGAGGACAAUUUAAAGACUUCGUUCUCUGCUUGCACUAUGUGGGUUCCAGGGAUUGAACACAGGUUAUCAGGAUUGGUGACAAGUGUCUAUACCUCCUUAGCUAUCUCACUGGUCCCCAGUUUGCUUCCAGAGAUGUCAUGUCCUUUUUCUUAGGCAGCAACUCGUGACAGUCAUCCCAUGAUAGCAAGGUUCCCUCUAAGACUCAUCAUCUCUUGCCUUGGACCACCACUGGCAACAUCAUGAGGCCAGGAAACACCUCUCUGCCUCUCAGGCUAGUCACAAGCUAAUCUCAGCUAAACAACAAAGCUUACCAAAGAAUUGAAUUAGUUAUUUCCAUAAAAGUGGAUCCUCUUUUAUACAUGACCCAUCAUUAAUAGUUCAAAAUCCUCAGACUCUAGCUAAGCCAAAUGUCCUGAAUCCCAUGUAUUCUGGGGACAGAAUUAUAUUUCACUGUAGGGACAUUUUCCUUGACCUUCUGUUGCCAAAUACUUUACUCCAGAGUUUUCUGCUCCUUCCCUUCUUGUCCCUCUUUCCUCAUUCAUCUUACCUAAAACACACACAGGCACACACACACACACACACACACACACAGAGAGAGAGAGAGAGAGAGAGAGAGAGAGAGAGAGAGAGAGAGAGAGAAAGAGAGAGAGAGAGAUUCUGAUUAAGGCUAUUCUUGUUGCCAUGUAAGACUUGCUGGCCAAAUUGUGGUGAAAUUUAACAAUGUGGUGAGAACAAGAAAUUGUGGCGUCGGGGAUAAGUAGUGUCCUGGUGAUGCCAGGGGCUACUCGUCGAGCUGACCGUGUGCUGAAAAUGGCAGACACUUCUUAAAAUGGCCCUUGGAAGAGCCAAUGGGAAUCCCAAGUAAAUGUCAGCCUUCUUGCUGACAGACAGGGAGGGGGAGUUGGGGAAGAGGGACUUCUAUUUUCCCAGUCAGGGUGAAUUUCCUCCAUUGUGAUAAGUGACCUCUUCUAUUUCCUAGCAAACUAGAUUAUAACCCUCCAAAAUGAAACACCUCGCCACUAAUACCUUCAUGAAAUGGGGUGGACAGCUGUUGUAUUUGCCUGUCUAGGCUGUAUCACUCUCUAGUCUGAUAACAGUCCGCUGGGAUCAUGGUGGGGGACAGCUCACUCCAUACUGGUGUCUAGGGCAGGCUCAAGACUCAAGCUGUGUCACCCCAGAAAGGAACACACUUGCCAAAAAAACUUUCUAAAAUGAAACUCAUUCACAUGCCUUGAUUCCAACCUCAGUAACCUGAAGAGGAUCCAGGCUGAACCUAGGCUCUCAUAGCUGCUCACACACCUGUACUGAGACCGGACUCUUAUGCCAUCAUUUUUAUUCUGGGAGCCAGUCCUAGACUUUUCUUUCUCUUUCCUUUUGAAAUCUUACAAUAUGGGUCUCUUGUGUCUUGUGUCUUCAGUCAAAUACCUCAAAGACCCAGUGGAAGAAGAGAUGGACCUGGGAUAUCACGAGAGGAAAUGUUGUAACCAUGCUCAUUCAUUAUUUGCUCUAUUGGGGAGUCUGUGGUGUUUCCCAAAAGUAUAUGUGCUAAAAAGGCAUAGUCCCAGCUUGGUUUUAUUGACAAAUGGCAGAACCUUUAGGAUAUUAGACCCAGGGAGAGGUCACUGGGGAUGCAUCUCUGCAGGGGACAGUGAGACUCUUGCCAUUCUUUGCUCCUUCUUUGCCUUUUCUACCUCAUCUGUACCAUAUGUUCAUACCACAAGAGUCUGUGCUGCCACUGGCCCAAAGCAGUGGGAUCAAGCAACUAUGAACCCUCUAAGUCUGCGAACCCAAAUAAAUGUGUCUUCUCAUAAGUAGAUUUAUUUCUAGUAUUUAUUGUGAUAGCAAAGAUUUGACAAAAACAAACAUGUACAGCAGGAAAGCCUGAUUCUCUCAUUUCUUGUUCAUGUUCAUUUCACCAUGAAGUCACAAAUUUCACGGCAACCCUCCUUCCCCCUACCAUAGCCAUCAUUUCUUUACUGAAUACAUUUUGAACACCUGCUGUAUGUCAGACUGUGAUUGUAAUGGCAAAAAUUCUGUUUUUGGUGAGGCUUGCAUUCCAAAAGGAAAAAGAGACAUUACUGAAGCAAACAAGUAGAUUAGCAAAGCAGCUGGACACAACAGUAUGAAAUAGGAGAAUGGCACAGAGUAACCACAGCCUUGUGGUUAGGGGAAACCUGCCUGAAGAGCAGACUUUCAAGACAUAGAUCAUUUUGGGGGAAGCAACCAUGUGAAACUAUGUGGGAAGGAAUGUUAUCUAGGCAAACAAAACAGCAAGGGAAAAGCCCCGACGUGGGGACAAGCAUGAUGUAUCACAACACAUGUGAGAGAAAGAUACAAAAUGGCCAAGGACAUUUGCAGGGGCCAAGUCAUGCUUGGGCUUCUAGACUUCACUAAGCUAAGAAGUUUGGAUUCAUCUUCAUUACUGAAAGAUUUCGGUGGAGAAGCAUAGGACAAAUGCUACAAAUCUCUGACCAUAGUCACUCAUUCAGCAAAAUGCUGCUCACCGAUACUGAUUAUUGAGUAUUGUGAGGCACAAGAUGACCUCAAAAGACUGACACUCUCAGGGAGAGAGAUCAUCAAUCCUGUAAUAAAACAACACUCCAGAGUUCCCCCUGAGGAAACAACAAAAAAGUUAAAGUAAUCUGUGGAAUGCAGACAAAGAACUGCACACAGUUUUAUGGAGGAAUUAACGCAAGGAGGAAUCUGUUCUUCAAUAGCUGCAGUAAAAUGUGCCCUGUUCUGGUUUGGAACAAGCGGAAGCAUACGUGAAUUUCUGUCUUACACUGAAAGUUCCCUGUGACUCUAGUUUAAUGAUUUGCGACUGUUGCUGCUGCAACACUAACUGAGAAAUUUCCUAAGUGGAUGCAGACAAACUAAACUAAGGAGGAUCCAGUGUGCAUUGGAGACCCAGAGCUGUACCGGGGAUAGCUUUCCUCAGGGUGUGCUUCUGCAGCUCUUCUCAUGAUGGCUCCAUCAAGAAAGGGCUUCAUAGUUAGGUGGGCUACACACCUCAUCCAAUGAGUGAGCGUCUGAAUCCCAAGCCAAAGACCUAGACAGCAACAACAAAUAGAAAACUGUUGGUCUUAUUUGCUUGCCUCUAUAUUUCCCAAAGUUGAUUACCUUUGGAGCUCAGUUUCAUGAGAAACGUAUCAAUUUCUUAUGGACCAGUCUUGAAACACUGCUUAAAUAAUUUACACAACCUAUCUUCUCUUCUAUAAAUAAUUUAAUCAUUAACUAUAGCCAGACUCCUACAGCAUCCCACAGAGAAAGAGAACCUGGAUGGACAGCUCCAAACUCUUGGUUCCAGCUUAGGUCAGAUGAGGCCAUGGCUCUGCAUUUGAAUUCCUUAAACCACAACACAAAACUGAAUGUUACUACUCAUCAAAGCUCCUGACAGGACUGAGUAAAGGACAAGCAAAAGAUGUGAGGAUAAUGUAUUCAACAAUUUUUAAAGAUUAUAUAUUAAGAUUCUAUGUUCUAUAUAUGCCAUAGUCUAUAUGCACAGCAUAUAUACUAUUCCGUUAUCUAUUAUAUAUACUUAGGAUAUGUUACCCAGAAUCCUUUAAUGAUAUAUGUGUAUAUCUUAUAUAAAACAUACAGACACUUUCUUUUAUUAGUUGAGAUCUAGGUUACUGCAAUCCACCCUUACAUUUCAAUGCUUUAUGUAGCAAAUGGUCCAUUUCUCUCACAUACAUCCUCCAUUUCAGGUAUUGCUCUUCAGGUAAUUCUCUUGGGUGAUUUCCAGCUAGAUAGAAACUCAGGGAUCCAGGUUUUCCUAACAGGGAAAAGAAGAAUGUAUGGAGGACUCCACAAAAUUAUUUAAUACUGCAAGUACGCUCUCAUUUUAUGGGUUAGAGCAGCUAUGGAACUCCUUCUCAAGGCAAGGCGCCUUGGGAAAAUGGUAUUUCUCAGUCCCACAAAGAAAUGGAGUCCGUAAACACAUAAUACAUAAGCACACAGUAUUGUCUUAGAGACAGAUAAAACUCCCAAAUAGUCUAUGAGCCUCUCUGAGACGUGGUGCUUGGUAGGUGCAAAUGCUCACAAGGAAGCAGUUGGUAUGGGUUUGUUUUCUUCUCUGACCACAUCCUUUGUUAACAUUUAGGACAAAGACCUUCUAAAGUCACGUGAACGAUUUCAGAGAAAACUGGAAAACACUCUCAUGGAAAUGCAGUCUGGAGAGAGACAGAGAGAGAGAGAGAGAGAGAGAGAGAGAGAGAGAGAGAGAGAGAGAGAGAGAGAGAGAGAGAGAGACAGAGAGAGAGACAGAGAGAGAGACAGAGAGACAGAGAGAGACAGAGAGAGAGAGAAUAAGACCCUACACAAACACAGCUAAGCACCAACCAUAGACUCUGCCAACUAUUCCAAACUAAUUGCUGCUGUGCACAGGCAACAUAAAUCUAUUUUCAAUUGUAGAUGGGGUUUCUUUCCUGCCUGGUCCCGCUGCCAUUUAAACAAGCAGGAAAGAAACCCUGUCCACAGGCAGUGGGAAAGGCUGAAAGGGUGACAUGGGUUGGAUAUGUGAACUAAUUGGAGCCAGAAGGAAAAUAUUGGGGAGCAGAAAUCUUUAUACAGUAUUUUUCAUCAGACUGUAAUCUUCCUAGCUACAAAAUUACAUAUAUAGGAAAGGCAGAAAAACACAAAACAAAGUGAAAACCACUAUUAAUCCCAGUUCCCAUCCACUCUACACAAAAUCCUCACUGUUUAAAUGAUUAUUAUCUACUGUUCUUAUAGAUGAACUCAACUUUUCAUAGCAUAUAUUUCCCUCUAAAUACCACACUCACUCUGCAGGUUUUGUGGCUCAUUUUUAUAAAGCUCACAAUAUCGUCUGGAUGUUUCAUAAUAUUAUUAUGGAUGGCUACAUAGUCAACAAUGGUUGAGCAUGACUGUUUCUAGCUUUUUUUUCUCAUGAAAAAAAUUGGCAUAUUGAGCAUCUCUCUGUGCCCAUUUUCUACAGAUAUCUGAUCAUUUGUAUUCUAAGAGAUUUGUGAUAAUGUUGACUAACACUUAAUGAAGUUUAUAGUGUGCUUAAUUUUGAAGUAAGUUUCUUACUUUCUGCAUCUAAGUCAGUCUUUCAAACAAGUGUCUGCUGGUCAUAUUAACAGUGUAUCCAUGCUCUACGUAAGGAAACAAUGUCUGAGAAAAGGUAAAUCCUUUGCCUGUUAUGAUACAGCUACUUAAUGGAAGAAACCGGAUUUGAACCCAGAGUGACUGACUUCAGCAUCCAAGAUCCUCCAUUUCCUACUCUACCCUGGAGAGCACUUAAAUUCUCACUAGCAGAUUAACCUUCAUGGAGAGUUGACAGAGUAAUGGAUAUGGCUUGAGAAGGGGUAUGUAUAAUCAAGAGGAACUGCUUAUAUGAUGGCUAAGAGAAGAAGAGAAGGUAAAGUUUUAUGAGGGACAGUAACUUUUGCCGGUUGAAGUAAAAACAAAAAACUAUGAGUUAAUAUAUCCAGAGAGGCAAAGUCAUUUCAAAGGACAAUCUCCAAGCCAAAGUUCAGGACUGUUUAAAAAUUAUUGAAAGGGACAAUGGGAGUGCCUGUCCAGUUGAACAAAGAGGAGCGAUGUCAAAACAGUACUUGAUAAAGACAUACUCUGAGUCGGUCUUUGAUUUAAGAAAGUGGCCUUUGGCUUGUGGAAUGAGAUAAAAUCCAAGUUUCUGAGGCCUUUUAGGAGACCCUUUGUCAUAAUUUUCCUCCAGUCUGACAACUUCUCUGUGGGGAUGCACUUUCUUCACAGUAGCUGGAGAAUCUGAAGGGAGCCAGAAGCCAGGGCCUUAGAUCCUGUUUUCACUUCCAGCCUCCACUCACAACCACUUCCCAGAAGGCCUUGCAAGUCCCUGAUGGAAUCAGGGAGGGAAGAUUGAUGGCAAGAGGCAGAAAAGUCAACUAUAGAAAUGUUAGGACAGGGUGGAAGAUGAGAAUUAUGAGUUUAUAUUCUGUGUUCAGACGACCUAGGUUCAAAUGCAGGUGACUGUUGACUAACAACAUGACUAGGGCGAGAUGACUAUCCUCACUGUACCUCAGUUUCCUUAAUUGUAAAAUAUGAUAGUAAUAAUAAUACCUACUCUGCAGAUCACUGUGAAGAUCAAAUGAGGAGAUCAAAGUCACAGAUGCGGGCUACCAUCCCCACAAGGUAAAGCCUGAUGGCUUGACAGUUCAUGCCCAUUGUCCCAGCUCUAGGACACCAUAGGCCAUCAUAGAUAUGUAUGAAUUUAAACAUGAGUUUAGGUCCUGUUAAACCCUUGUUCCUAUGGAACAGACACACAUUAAUUGAAAAUCCUAAAUAUGCUUAUUUACAAACAGCUUACACUCUAAUGCAGAGAUUCUCAACCUGUGGGUCAAGAUGUGUCCUUUUCACGGGGGUGACAUAUCAGAUAUCCUUAGUAUCAGAUGUUUACAUUACAAUUCAUAACAGUAGAAAAUUAUAGUUAUGAAGUAGCAAUAAAAGUAAUUUUACAGUUGGGGAUCACCAUAGCGUGAGGAACUGUGUUGAAGGACAGCAUCAGGAAGGUUGAGAACCACUGUGCUAAUGCUUUCUUUUCCCUUCUGAACUUUCUGGAAACCAGCUGCACUCUUCUAUGUGCACAGAGAACUCUUGGACCCAUGUCCCCUUUUACCUCCUCUCCGUCAGACCUUACUCCCCUCAUCUCUGCUUGCAGAUUAGGCAAUUUCUGUGUGCACAGAUGUACAAGGAUCUCAGCUCUACCAUCUCUCCUGUCCCAUUCCCCUGAUGGUAGCGGAAGCUGCAUCAGGACCAGGGACCUUAGCCAUACUGGUUAGAGGAAAUGUAAAUAUACUAGAGACUUGGUAUUGCUCCCAAGUUGGCAAAGUACCUAGAAGUCUCCUACUGAAAGGACAUAAAGACCCCCACCUACUGUCUCAAAUAUCUUUAACUGAAGCUUGUUCUCUUAGACGUUAGCAUUUCUAAUGCUCUCUAAACCUGAUGAUUUGUUUGAGGUCAACUAAUGGACCAAUCUUACAAUUAAAGCAAUAAUUAUAAGAUACACAGCUGCUUGCUGUACUGAGAAUUAAAUGGGAUGGAAGGGAUAUCUGGGAACUAACUACUAUGGAAGAAAUUAUGUCGAUGGGGAAAUGCACUCCAAAUUCCAGAUAACUCAUUCACUCACUGACUUUUGGAAUAUAAUGCUUUAAUAGGUUAAAAAGACUGACUAAAAAUAUUAAGUCUCUUAAUGAAAUUUUUAUUCAUGUAAUUCUUUGGAUUUUUAUCUUAAGAGAUUGAAGCAAUUCUAGUCUCCUCCACAAGAAUUGUUUCCCUGGUAUGGGAGACAUAAUUAAAAGAGGACUUUGGAUUUUCUGAGAUGAUAGGUAGGACCCAACUAUUUUAAUUAGUUUAAUGGAUGUAAGACCAAUUGUUUUAAGGCAGUAGACAAAAUGAUUCAUGUUAUUGGCAGGUUUGUCCACUUGAUUUCCCAAGGGUCAAUCAUUUCAGCUCACACGAAAGAUGCAUCUAUUGUAGGUGAGAACAUUUGAGAAAUAUUUUGGAAUCAUUUCAAAAUCACAUUCUACAUGUGGAAGUAACAGGAACCCAUCUAAAGCCUUUUUUAUUACCUCUACAAUACUAAUGAGUUCCCGCUCACAAGGAGACAUGACAUUUAUAUCCUUUCAAGUUUUCCUUCCUUUUGGGCAGCUUUAAAACAAAAACGGACUAUUUUUCCUUCAUCAUUAUAAACUGGGCAUCUGGUGAGAUUUUUAAGCAAACGAGUGAGAGUUAGCCAGGCUGUGGUGGUGCACGCCUUUAAUCCCAGCAGUUGGAAGGCAGAGGCAGGUGUAUCUCUAUGAGUUUGAGGCCAGCCUGAUCUAAAGGGUGAGUUCCAGGACAGCCACGGUUACACCAAGAACCACUGCCUCAAAUAACAACAACAACAACAAAGCUGAGAAAAAUACAUUUAUGAAGGACCUUUUUGUCUGUGAUUUAAACUCAAGCAGAAAAGCUGCCUCCUGCAAGUGGGCAGGGUGUGGGCCUGGCCAGAAGACUGGAUUUUGGCUCUGCUGCCUGGGGCUUUGAUGAAGUCACUCACGGGUGAGCCCCAUUAUCUCCAUCUGAACAAAUGAGGUUUGGCAUCGGUGCCUGUGAGCUCCUUCCCGACCCUCUGUUUUGUUUUUGUGGUUGGAAAUAAUGCAGGGAUUUGGGGGAUGCAAUCUUCCCAAAUCCAGGCUUUCCACUCUGUCACUUCAGGGGAAGCAAGGGGCUGCCAACAUCACUUUUGCUUUCAGUUCCUAUCAACACGAACUGUGCUUAAACAACCAGUAAGUUAGGCCUCUCUGAACAGCAAUUGGUAUGUUCCAAAAAUUAGCUUAAUUUCCCUUUCCUCCCCCCCCCCUUUUUCUUUUCCUCUCCUUCCUUCCUUCCUUUCACGUCUUAAAGAAAAAAAG